AACGAACGCUGGCGGCAUGCCUAACACAUGCAAGUCGAACGAAGCCUUCGGGCUUAGUGGCGCACGGGUGCGUAACACGUGGGAAUCUGCCCUUCGGUUCGGAAUAACAGUUAGAAAUGACUGCUAAUACCGGAUGAUGACGAAAGUCCAAAGAUUUAUCGCCGAAGGAUGAGCCCGCGUAGGAUUAGGUAGUUGGUAGGGUAAUGGCCUACCAAGCCGACGAUCCUUAGCUGGUCUGAGAGGAUGAUCAGCCACACUGGGACUGAGACACGGCCCAGACUCCUACGGGAGGCAGCAGUGGGGAAUAUUGGACAAUGGGCGAAAGCCUGAUCCAGCAAUGCCGCGUGAGUGAUGAAGGCCUUAGGGUUGUAAAGCUCUUUUACCAGGGAUGAUAAUGACAGUACCUGGAGAAUAAGCUCCGGCUAACUCCGUGCCAGCAGCCGCGGUAAUACGGAGGGAGCUAGCGUUGUUCGGAAUUACUGGGCGUAAAGCGCACGUAGGCGGUUACUCAAGUCAGAGGUGGAAGCCCGGGGCUCAACCCCGGAAC
rnacentral:rRNA from 1 species